GAUGAACGCUAGCGGCGUGCCUAAUACAUGCAAGUCGAACGGUGAACGAGGGAGCUUGCUCCUUCCGGAUCAGUGGCGAACGGGUGAGUAACACGUGAGCAAUCUGCCCCGAACUCUGGGAUAAGCGCUGGAAACGGCGUCUAAUACCGGAUACGACGCGCGAAGGCAUCUUCUGCGCGUGGAAAGAAUUUCGGUUCGGGAUGAGCUCGCGGCCUAUCAGCUAGUUGGUGAGGUAACGGCUCACCAAGGCGACGACGGGUAGCCGGCCUGAGAGGGUGACCGGCCACACUGGGACUGAGACACGGCCCAGACUCCUACGGGAGGCAGCAGUGGGGAAUAUUGCACAAUGGGCGCAAGCCUGAUGCAGCAACGCCGCGUGAGGGACGACGGCCUUCGGGUUGUAAACCUCUUUUAGUAGGGAAGAAGCGAAAGUGACGGUACCUGCAGAAAAAGCACCGGCUAACUACGUGCCAGCCGCCGCGGUAAAAC
rnacentral:rRNA from 1 species